rnacentral:sRNA from 1 species
GCUGGGCUUGGUGGCGCAUGCCUGUAAUUCCAGCAGCUCUGGAGGCUGAGGCAGGAGGAUCAUGAGUUCAGAGCCAGCCUCAGCAAAGCUGCUAAGCAACUCAGUGAGACCAUGUCUCUA